ACACAGGCAACAAAACCUUUCAAGGUUUUUUCCAGAGACAGGGAGGCUAGGAAGGGCGUUGUUGCCUCUUCAUUUGAAGAUUUGAAAGAUGGUUGCAAAGAGAAGUUUGUACUGGAUUCAACGGCUAGGAUUACUUUUGUGCUGGAAGAAGAUGGCACAGAAAUUGACACAUCCUAUUUCAAAACGCUUCCGGCAAACACAAAACUCAUCCUACUUGUAGAUGAUGAUGUUUGGCAACCAGUUGCAGGUAGCUCUACAUCUUGCAGUGGUUCAAGCUCUGCAGACAGCACUCUUUGUA